UGUAUUAUUUAAUGAUUUGAAAAUUUGGAAUAAUGAUUCGAAAAAGGUUGCUGUAGGCCAUUAGCAUUGACCGUGCAUAUAUGCAGAUAAUUUCUCAUGGUGGUUUAUAGUUGGAUAUUUUAAAUUUCAUACAUGG